CUGGGUGGCUCAGUCGGUUAAGCAUCUGACUUCGGCUCAGGUCAUGAUCUCAUGGUUCGUGGGUUCGAGCCCCGCGUCGGGCUCUGUGCUGACAGCUGGGAGCCUGGACCCUGCUUCGGAUUCUGUGUCUCCCUCUCUCUCUGCUUCUCCCCUGCUCAUGCUCUAUUUCUCUCUUUCUCAAAAAAUAAAUAAACAUUAAAAAAUUACGUUAGGAUGAAGAGCCAUGUAUUCAAGUAUGAGCUCACAUGUGGGUUUCCUAAGUUAAAUACUGACAAGUGGAUUGCCAGACUAUACUCAUUUGCUCUCCCUUCUCAAGAAUCUUUAUUUUAAUGCAUUGUAAGACCCAGACCAAUCUAAGGGUUUCACAUCAGUCAUUUCCUUCCUUAGUUUGUGAGUUAGAAGCAAGGGUGUCUUUAGGACGUGUGUGUCUUUGGACAAAGCACCCUCUUUGCUCCCGCUGCCUCUAUCAUAUUGCAAAACUCUGGGGACACCGUUCACUUUCUGUUCUAUGUGUCCCAUAGAAGUCCCCUUUGUGACAGAACAUUUUUACAGGUGAGAUGGGUUUAAAGGUCCACCUCUUUAAGACGAACUUUUCAAUGGAGAGGGACAAAGCCACUUCUUUUGGUUUGGAAAUUAUAGGUAUUUCGAUGAACAGCACACACACACACACGCACACACACCCCACUGGUUAACGCUUCCUUUACAUUUUGGCCUCCUAAGGUACUUUCCAAAUUAAAGGCAAUCCAGAGAGGAAACCUUGGGCCGUUUGCCUUGAUUCACACUCUCCUACAGAUUGCUCCCCGUACAAGGAUAAUGAGGUUGCGUGCAAUGAUUGUAUCUUAUAAGUGUAGAGUUUUAUUCAUUGUCCUUGGUGACCUGCCAUCUGCCCUCAAGCAUACAGGGCGCUCUUGUAACUUGGGAAUCUUCAGGGAUCACGAGACCUCCUCCUCCGCUUUCCCAGAGGGCAGAGUGGGAAGGAACCCAGCCUAUGACAUGAAAAUGGGAACACAGUGUCACCGUGAGCUGACUCUGCCCUGCUUUUUUCAGGGGUCCCACAGCCACACACGGAAAUAAUCCCUUUGGAGAACAGCUUCUCUGUCCUUCCCAUCUGUGAGGCCAAGACUGGCCGAACGUAGCGAAUUUAACUUUUAUCUCAUAAUUUCUUUCUACUGUAUUUCUUACAUUACUUUAUCUUUUACUUUUUUCCCCCACUUCCCUCCUAAGUUCACCCUUUGCUCAGGACGUCGCAAGCCGAGUUCUACAAACCUUAAGAUUCAGAACGAGAUGUCGCACUUAACCAAUCGUCUUUGCUGCUUUCAUGGCCCGCGUUUCGAAUUGAAGAAGAAACUAGAAGGAAGGAAGCACAGGAUGGUUCCUUCAGACGGGCUUCCCCGGGGGUGUUUAAAGGAGAACUUAGCGUCAGAAUGGAUUCAGUUUCUGCCCCCCCCGCCCAGGGUUUACAUUUCGGUGAAUAAGGCGGACAAGACAUCAGGCCGCAUAAAUCGGUGCAUCGAUACGAUGGCGGUGAAGAUGCUGAUUAUUGGUGACGGACUGCGUCUGCCGAGAGCCGUGGGCCCUCAGUCACUCGGCUCAGUGCUUUAAGCGCAUCGACUCUGUACGGUGGAGAGCACCUGCGUGGAUUCGGUGCUCUAGUUUAACAGACUGGCCCCAGGUCUCACGGUCGGGGGUGCGGCAGGGCGUUUCACGCGUGCGGCGUGCGGCCAGCGCCCGGGUGCUUCUUUGCACGCUAUUGCCAUUUGAGACGUCCCGGGUGCGUGCGGAUGAACGGGAGGCGCAGUCCAGCCAAAGUGAGGCCGGCAGGAUUGGAGCGAAACUCAAGGAGGGGAGUGGGAACUAGUGGGAUGCAGGACGGUGAGAUGGAUGGAGGGGGCCACGCGGGCUCAGGGCGGCCUGGAGCUUAGUGCGCUGGGGUCCGGGGAUGCGGGGAAAGGCCUGGGAGGAGGUGGCCGGGGGGAACAGAACGGCGACCACACGGUCCCGAGCUCGCGAAGAACAGGCCCUGAGAACUCGGGCAAACGUGGAGGAUGCAAAGGCCGGGAAAGCGUCAGGGUCUCCUCUCAGGCUGACCUUGGC